CGUGACCUAACACAUGCAAGUCGUACGAGAAAGUCGGCUUCGGCCGGCGAGUAAAGUGGCGCACGGGUGAGUAACGCGUGGAUAAUCUACCCUUGAGUUGGGAAUAACGUGCCGAAAGGUGCGCUAAUACCGAAUAAUACUGAGUGACUAAUGUUGCUUAGUCAAAGAAGGCCUCUGCUUGCAAGCUUUCGCUGAAGGAUGAGUCCGCGUACCAUUAGCUAGUUGGUAGGGUAAUGGCCUACCAAGGCAACGAUGGUUAGCUGGUCUGAGAGGAUGAUCAGCCACACUGGAACUGAGACACGGUCCAGACUCCUACGGGAGACAGCAGUGAGGAAUAUUGCGCAAUGGGGGCAACCCUGACGCAGCAACGCCGCGUGAGUGAGGAAGGUUUUCGGACCGUAAAGCUCUGUCGAGCGGGAAGAAAUGCAUGCUGGCUAAUAUCCAUCAUGCUUGACGGUACCGCUAGAGGAAGCACCGGCUAACUCCGUG
rnacentral:rRNA from 1 species